AAAAAAAGAAAAAAAAAGAAAAAAAUAAAAAAAUAAAAAAAAAAGAAGAGAAAGGCACCAUCUGGCUUUGCCCUUCCCACAGAAAUGUCAGGCUUUUGACUUGCUCUGGAAGUGUCCAGAAGCCACACAUCAGGACUGGGAGACUCAGAAGUGGGAUCCUGGGGAAUGCUCUUUCAAGUGAGCAGCUUUCCAAGAAAAUCAUACCUGAAGUGUGUGCAUGUCCUGGAAGACCUUGUAAGGACUGGAAUCUGAAACCUUCUUCAUCUGGAACUUCUACAGUCUGGUUUUCCACUACAUCAGUGCAAGCAAAUUACCAGGGAAAAACAUGGCCCAGAACAGUUUUCUCACAGUAAGGAAUGUGGAAGGUUAACCCCAGAUGUGCCUCCAUCUCUACAAAGUAGCAGAUGGCAAAG